GUGAAUUUUCAACGGCCGCGGUAACCUGACCGUGCUAAGGUAGCAUAAUCACUUGCCUUUUAAUUAGAGGAUAGUAUGAAUGAAUGAACAGGGGUGAAUUGUCUCUCAGGCAUAAUUAAAAAUUUACCUUUAGGUGAAAAGGCCUAAAUAAUAUUUGAAGACAAGAAGACCCUACAAGCUUUUAUAAAAAUAUAGAUAAUUACUAUAUUAUUAUUUUAGUUGGGGCGACAAUAAGAAUUAUACACUUAUUAUUAAAAAGCAUACUCGCUUAAUAAUUUAUCUAUUAACCAAAGAGUAAGCUACUGUAGGGAUAACAGGCUGGUUUUUCUUGAGAGAACACAUCUACAGAAAAGUUCGGCACCUCGAUGUUGGCUUAGGGGAGCAUUAUAGAGCAGGGCCUAUAAAAGCGGGUUUGUUCAACCUUUAAACCCCUACGUGAUCUGA
rnacentral:rRNA from 1 species